UCUUUUUUUCCCGGACAAAAUUUUCAUUCUCAUCUCCGACGGAUUUCAGUCCGUCGAUGGCUACAAACUCUUCGUCGAGGAAAGCAGUCCAGAAUAUCCAUAACUGUUUUAUCGGUCUUCUCUUCGUGAUGGCUUUGGGAUUCUUCUGUCUCACGAUCCUCCUUUACUUAAGCCUCGAUCCGGAUUCGGCUACACAACGUCUUCUUCCGCCGCUGCCUCUGAUUACUUAUGGUAGUGAAGAAAAUAUUACGGAAAGAGAGAUGGAGGCAGCUCAACAUCUGAUGCAGCUAAGCGACGAAGAAGAUAUUAGUCUCAAUAUAAUCACGAAGAAGAAGAUUGUGGCAUUAUUUGGUAAAGAUGAUAUUUAUCAAGAUCAAUGUACGAACACGAAGGAAAUGGUGGUGAUGAGAGUAAUGCCAUCGCAGAGGAAGAAGAAGAAGAAGGAAACAAUGAGUGAUUACGGUGAGAAGACUUGUCAUGGCCGAUGCUCUCAAAGCUCUUGACAUUGUAAUUAUCAGGAUUUGUGUUUUCUCCGGCGGCUUCUGAGUAAUCUGCAUCGGAGCUUGUGGAUCCUCGUGACAGCGGUCGCAGUGGAAGACGAUAUCGAUUGGUAAUAGAAUCUGUGAAUCAUUUGUGAAUAUUUUACUUUGUUUAAAGCCCUCAUUUUGGAUUAUAGAGAAAGAAUUUUGGAUUGUGUAGCUGUGUUUCUUAUGUUGUUGUAGCUUAAUAAAAUGCAUUUCUCUGUGUAUAUUUUACCUGCUAAAUCACAAGAACAUUCAUUUUAUCACGGAUUAGAAACAUCUCAAAGAAGACAAAGGAAGGAAAGAAACGACACACAUUCUCUUCUUGUUAAAUUGUAUGUUUUGCUUGUUUUAAUUUAAAUGUACUACAUAAGCUUUAAUCAAUUAAGUAUUUAUAUUAAAUUGUAUGUUUAGUUU